rnacentral:tRNA from 2 species
GUACUCUAAUAGUUUAUAAAAAACAUU